CUGGGGCGGGGAGCCGUGCGCUGCGCUCCCUGAGCCAUGGGCCUUAACGCCCCGAAUCUCGGGUCAGCUGAGAUUCCAGCCAGCUGCAGACUGGCUGUCCGGGGUGCACUCCGCCAGGAGGGUGGGGAGACUUCAGCCAGGGGCAGUUCCUCGAGGGAGGAGGGCUCCAGCCGGGCCCCGGGGACUGGCGAGCGCUCCAUGUCACCUCACCUCCUGUGUCUUCCAGGUGUCCAGAUUCGCCGGUGGGUGGUCGGUUGCUUGAAACGUGAAUCGGAGGAGCCCGGCAGCCCUUGGCUUGGGAACGGCCCAUCCUGCAGGCUCCUGGCACCAAAAGAAAUGACUUUGUCUUCUAGCCACCUGCACGCAGCCAGUCUGACGACGCAUUACUACCCCCGGACCCUGAGCAGGACCCAUCAGCCGCUGGUGUGGAGACAGAGCGGGAGUUGGAGGAAGAAAGUUUGGCUUUGGACCCCGGGGCCGGGAGCUGCCCAGGGCCUUCUGAGGACCCCGAGAAAAGCAUCAAAUUGCGGGUGCCAGCAAUUUGUGUCCCCGGCGCCCAUGGGCCCAAGGGCCUGGCGGAACAGCACCGCUCCCUCAGUAGUCUGGAGCAGGUGAGUGAGACAUCUGGGUGGCUCUGAACAAUAACAAAGCCUACGU
rnacentral:lncRNA from 1 species